GGGAGAGCUGGAGUUCGGACGGCCAAGUUCACGGAAAGCGCAGCUGGGGAGGAGCCAAGGUAUUUAUUAUGCUUGGUCUCCAGUUCCAAACAGAGCUGAUGGAUGGAGCUGCUCCAGUUCCUAUAAACAGCUCGGGCCUCCCUCUCCCCCACCCCGCCCUCCCCAUUCUCAGCCACCACAGCCCAACUGUUUCCAGUGCGAUAGGGGUGGGGGUGGGGGGAGAUGACCAAGAAGAGAAGAAUGGGAGACGAGGGGGAGCAAAGGAGGGGGGGAGGACAAAGAUAAGACGGGGUCCUAGAGGCCUGAGGAAGCUGCAGGGAAUGGAGGGUGGUCAGAGAGGAUUCUUUGCCUCCCCACUGGCCCCUGCUGCCGUGGGCAGCCCACAGUCUGCAUUCCCCUGUCCUCUCUGUGUCCCCUAGGUCUGUUCAAAAAGCCUCCUCACCACACUCUCUGAGGGCUUGUCUCAACUCCACAAGCUUCUGAGUCCUGGAAGACAGGGGCCAUUCACUCAGAAAACCUUUUCUGAGCUGGCUUUAGUCUGUGUUGGCUCACAGGCCCUGGGGACAGAUAGGACUCCAGGUAGGACCUCCCCCCAGGACCUCCUGGCCUGGUGGGUGGGUCAGGCAGACACCCAAUGCUGAGGGCAGCCCAGACCUGUGGGCAGCUGGAGGAGAGAAAUCCAGACAGUCUCCCCAGAGAAGGUGAUGGAGGUGAUACAGGCGAGGGUGGUGAAGGAGAUUGUGCAGGUGGGUGGGGGGGUGAGCUGGUUCCGGCAGAGGAGUGCUCAACAAUGGCCAUCUCUGAGCAUGUUGUGAGAGGUGGCGGGAGAGAGAUGGGCCUCAUGGGCUCAGUGAACUGCCUGAAGGACAGGGGCACAGAACACAGACGGUGGGUCCCAGAUCCUGGAGGAUGUGGCCAGCCUGUGGGUCUGAGAGGGUGAGUUGCUGGCGCGUCCCGGGACCCGUUCCUGGUGGAGUGCCACGCCAGCGCAUGGAACCCCAGGAGUUGGGCCCUGCACCUCAGGCUGACUGUGACCUGGGAGUGGCAGGGCCUCCCCUCUCCCUGCAAGCUAAGAGCUCGGGAAGCUGGAUGUUCUGAUGACCUAGUUGGCUGCUGUGUCCACGUUUGGCUGAAAACAGGAAUUUCUGCCUCACCGGGGGUCUUGGCCAGGUGAGCAAACUCCCUGUUUGUCAGGAAAAGGGGUCAGGGGCCUGCUGGGCUCCCUGCUGGAGCAGAGGCCCGCAGACCCUAGGCGAGCUCAGCCCAAGCUCCUGCUUUCCCCUUAGGCCUUCACGGAGCACCUAUCGUGUGCCAGGGGGUGGGGCUCUCUCCUUUCUCCCCCAGCCCUACCCCAUGAAAUAGGUGUUUAGAAUUUCCCUUUGCAGACUGGGAGCCAGGAGCAGGAAUGGGGAGGUGAGAGGGCACGGACCAGAGAAACGGAAGAAUCUCCAGGAGGCAGAGCUGCCAACGCUGGGCCCAGGGGCUGCAGGGCCAAGGGGAGGGGUCCAGGCUGACUCGGGGUGGGCAGGAGAAGCAUCACUGAGCAGGAGCUUGGGGGAGAGGCAGUCAGGGAAGGGAAGGGCAAAGGCGCAGUGCCAGGCUGCUGACAGGGCGAAAUGGAAGGUGUGAGGGCCAGAGGAAUAAGCACCCCCUGCUCUGCAUGCUCUGCCCUGGCCUGUCACGCCUCUCAGUGCUCCCCUACCCAGGUGAGGCUGCUUCUGUCCCACACCCGACACUCACCCUCCAACUCCAAGCCAGGAACCAGGUGUGGUUUUCUUCCAAGUUCAACCUUGAUCUGCAGCCUG
rnacentral:lncRNA from 10 species